rnacentral:rRNA from 1 species
AACGAACGCUGGCGGCAGGCCUAACACAUGCAAGUCGAGCGAAGCCUUCGGGCUUAGCGGCGGACGGGUGAGUAACGCGUGGGAACGUGCCCUUUGGUACGGAAUAGCCCCGGGAAACUGGGAGUAAUACCGUAUGUGGUCGAGAGACGAAAGAUUUAUCGCCAAAGGAUCGGCCCGCGUUGGAUUAGGUAGUUGGUGGGGUAAUGGCCUACCAAGCCGACGAUCCAUAGCUGGUUUGAGAGGAUGAUCAGCCACACUGGGACUGAGACACGGCCCAGACUCCUACGGGAGGCAGCAGUGGGGAAUCUUAGACAAUGGGGGAAACCCUGAUCUAGCCAUGCCGCGUGAUCGAUGAAGGCCUUAGGGUUGUAAAGAUCUUUCAGUGGGGAAGAUAAUGACUGUACCCACAGAAGAAGCCCCGGCUAACUCCGUGCCAGCAGCCGCCGCAGUAA